CGGAUUGCAGGCUGCAACCCGCCUGCAUGAAGCCGGAAUCGCUAGUAAUCGCGGAUCAGAAUGCCGCGGUGAAUACGUUCCCGGGUCUUGUACACACCGCCCGUCACACCAUGGGAGUCAGUAACGCCCGAAGUCAGUGACCGAACCGAGAGGACGGAGCUGCCGAAGGCGGGACGGAUAACUGGGGUGAAGUCGUAACAAGGUACC
rnacentral:rRNA from 1 species